rnacentral:sRNA from 1 species
AUUGAUGAUGCUGACAUGGAAUGAUGACAUGGAAUAUUCCAGCCGGCGUUGUUUUGAAUUGAUGAGGUUGCAAGUAAGCCACCAAACAAACAUG